GRAGGGSGCMAGCGUUGUUSGGAUUUACUGGGSGUAAAGCGCGUGUAGGCGGWUUURUAAGUCRGGGGUGAAAUCCCGRGGCUCAACCUCGGAACUGCCUUGRAAACUGCAAGUCUGGAGUGCGGUAGAGGCGGGUGGAAUUGCGAGUGUAGAGGUGAAAUGCGUAGAUAUUCGGAAGAACACCGGUGGCGAAGGCGCUNGCUGGRCUUGUACUGACGCUGAGACGCGAAAGCGUGGGGAGCAAACAGGAUUAGAUACCCUGGUAGUCCACGCCGUAAACGAUGAGAACUAGUUGUCGGGGUGCAUGCUUGUUGGUGACGCAGCUAACGCAUUAAGCUYUCCGCCUGGGGAGUACGGSCGCAAGRUUA
rnacentral:rRNA from 1 species